UCUAGGUGUAACCAUAAGUUUUUUAUGUUUAAUUUUAAUUUUCUAUCUUAUUUAAAAUAUUUUUAUAAUUAGUACUUUAUACUUAACUUAUAUUUUUAAUUUUUUAAAAAACAAAUCAAAUAAGACGGACGGUUAAAGUUGUGCACGGAAAAUCAUGACUGCACUUAAA
rfam:Oryza barthii chromosome 3, whole genome shotgun sequence.